AAGGAUGGAGGCAGCAUGAAAACCUUAGGUACGGCAACAACCACUAUUUGGGGCCUAACCAAGGGCAAACGAGUAACCCACCACAAUACUCGGAACAACCUCAACAGGCAAGGGGAUCCUCCUUAUCAGAGCUAGUGCAUCAAAUGGCUCAGCUGCUGAAAUAGAAAUUUUAUUGAAGAAAAACAAAACCCUUGAGAGCACAGGCGCAAACAAGGAAAGUUCGAAAAAACCCAAACCAAAAAAAUAAAAACAANAAAGACAAAAAAACCCAAACGAAAAAAGCAAGAAAAAAACAGGAACGAACAAGAGACGGGACCGCAAAGGGUGACAACCGAGGCCAAGCAAAGCCCACGCCAGAGCCGUCCCGGGUAGAGCACAAUGCAAGAACGCGCGGCAGAGAAAACCAGCGCCAAAGGAAUCAAGCGCCAGAGGGAUCAAGCGCCAGAGGAAACAAGCGCCAGAGGGAUCAAGCGCCAGAGGA
rnacentral:lncRNA from 1 species